GUCGUAACAAGGUUUCCGUAGGUGAACCUGCGGAAGGAUCAUUACCACACCUCUUUUACUUGUGUAUAAUGUUGGAAUCCUCCGGGAUGAAAAUAUAACAUGAGCUAAAAAACAAUGGAAGGUGAAAGAGUUCAGGCUUCAAAACCCGGACUUCUGGAUCUGACUAUUGCGUCCCGUGUAACCUUUUUAUCUCUUGUGGUGUCUUCGGAUACCCAACUUAUAAAAACAAAUAACAUUUCAAAUGUUGAUCUGAUUAUGAUUUACCAAUAAUUAGGAGUCUAUUGCGUGUUUACUCACCCUUAGAUGACUAUACAAAUUAAUGAUAAAAACACUUUCAGCAACGGAUGUCUUGGCUCCCAU
rnacentral:misc_RNA from 1 species